rnacentral:lncRNA from 1 species
GUAAUAAUUUUAAAAUUAAUAAUAUAGCUGAUCCAAGUUUUGAUCAUUUUGGUCAUUUUUGUUAUAGCUUAAGUGAUAGUUUAGGUGAUAGUUUAGAUGAUAGUUUAGGUGAUGGUUUAGGUGAUAGUUUAGGUGAUAGAAAUAUCAAGGUUUCCAAUCAAAGAUGUAAAAGAACAAGUAACCCUUUUUUCGAUUAUUUUUCUGGAAGCGCUUCGAACCAUGCUUCUAUCAGAAUACAUAUCGUUGAUGAACUAAUUACGAGAUAUUCAAAUGUAUCUAAGUUAGGUGGUACAUAUUUGGAUGCACCAAAAAGUGCAUCUAAAGUUAUAAAUAAUAGUGUCCUAUAUACAGAUUUAACUAAAAAAAUAACCAAUAUUAAUAAUAUCAAAAAAAUUAACGACAUAUUAUUAAAAAUACCUACAAAUAAUAUAAGAGAAAAGUUUUUAAUAAAGUUUUUGCAAAUUAUAACUGCUGUUACUGGUGCUACUGAUAGUAGUCGUAACAUGGGGUAUACCGAACAAACAGAUGGUGAUAAAUCAUAUCGUGUAAAUAUAGUAAAUGCAUUGGAAUAUAAAAUAAUAUAUUUAAUGUUAUGGCUUAAUCAAGUGAUCCGUUUAAUACAUGUGAAAAUGAUUAAUAAAGAUAUGUGCAAAAAACUAUGUAGUAGUAUGUGUAGUGGUAUAUGUAGUGGUAUGUGUAGUGGUAUAUGUAGUAGUAUGUGUAGUGGUAUAUGUAGUGGUAUGUGUAGUGGUAUAUGUAGUAGUAUGUGUAGUGGUAUAUGUAGUGGUAUAUGUAGUGGUAUAUGUAGUGGUAUGUGUAGUGGUAUAUGUAGUGGUAUAUGUAGUGGUAUAUGUAGUGGUAUGUGUAGUGGUAUGUGUAGUGGUAUAUGUAGUAGUAUGUGUAGUGGUAUAUGUAGUAGUAUGUGUAGUGGUAUGUGUAGUGGUAUGUGUAGUGGUAUAUGUAGUGGUAUGUAUAGUGGUAUAUGCAAAAACGAUUUAAAACGAAGUGGUAUUAAAAAACUAAUAAAGCAACUUAACCGAACAAGUGAUUCCUACAUUAAAAAGAAUACAAAAAAUUGGUGAUACAACCAAAACAAAUAAACAAAAACUCGGAUCAAUAAUAGAUAUAAUA